UAUGCUGCUUCCAGACGUAUAUGUUCGUGUUAUUUUCUUAUCCAAUCAUAUUUCAGCCUCAGGUGUUGCCAGGUUGAAAGAAAUCUGCCCUGAGGCCUUCAGUGUCAGUAGUGCUGGCGCUGGGAGUAUUACGUUGGUGAUUUGAGUGAUUUGAUUGGACGGUCAGAGAAAACACACCGUUUUCAAUCUAACGACCUGUACCAGGCACCUGGUACGAUCGAAAGUGACGUUUUCUCUGUUUCUGUCGAGCGGACAUUCUCAGCCUGAAGCGAUUUAAAAGUUAAGCCACAAAUACGACCAGACAGAGUGGACUUUAAUCGUUAGCAUGAAUGACGACAGAAGAGAAACACACGGAUAAUCUGCCCAACAACAGUCACUGAACUCGUCUUAAAGAAACACAGGAGGGAUUUAAUGUUCAACAAAUGUCGUUUAGAAAGUUCCGGAGCCGCGGCAACAAAACAGGUUGAACUGUCACAACACACACACGGAGUCUGGACUGUGUUUUUGUUUCAUCCUCACAGCGAAUCAGGCUCCGCGUCGUGUUAGAAAAAGUCGGACAAAUUUCACUGCAACGUUUGGGGUUUUUCACGUGGGAAAAUUUGGUCUUGGAAUUUGGACGACGUGAGGAAAAUGUACGUCCUCAGAACGACAGGACGGCGUUGGCAGGACCGCGGGUUUGGCCACAGUGUUCCAGGGCGGAGACUUAUCGCUGCCGUUAGCUUCUGUGAGCGACUAAAACCACAAACUCCACUAUCUGCACUUUGACGCCGACAGCGUCUGUUGACGAGCGGCUGAAUGAAGUCAGUCGACGUGGAGCGAACUCCAGCAGCACAAUGCUCUGUCUUUGACCAUUCAGCUCCACUGUUUACUCCGUCUGAUCCUGACCUUCCUGACGACAGGUGAUGGUGUUGAUGUUACGUCAAAGUUGCCGAUAAUCUACAGUAGCCUUUUGACUCAGGGACUCGAUGCGUGACUCAGUCUGUGUUUUAUCCCUAGUUAGUCAUGAAUCAACACCGAAAAGCAGAGUUCCCAAACUGAUGGAACUUUGUCUAAUCAACCA